rnacentral:rRNA from 1 species
UCGGAUUGCAGGCUGCAACCCGCCUGCAUGAAGUUGGAAUCGCUAGUAAUCGCGGAUCAGCAUGCCGCGGUGAAUACGUUCCCGGGCCUUGUACACACCGCCCGUCACACCAUGAGAGUCGGGACACCCGAAGUCCGUAGUCUAACCGCAAGGGGACGCGGCCGAAGGUGGAUUCGAUAAUUGGGGUGAAGUCGUAACAAGGUAUC